UACGGGGGGAGCAAGCGUUGUUCGGAUUUACUGGGCGUAAAGGGCGCGUAGGCGGUCGUGCCAAGUCACUUGUGAAAUCUCCGGGCUUAACUCGGAACGGUCAAGUGAUACUGUCGGACUAGAGUACAGAAGGGGCAACUGGAAUUCUCGGUGUAGCGGUGAAAUGCGCAGAUAUCAGGAGGAACACCAAUUGCGAAGGCAGCUCGCUGGGACGUUACUGACGCUGAGACGCGAAAGCGUGGGGAGCAAACAGG
rnacentral:rRNA from 1 species